AUAUAUAUCUGGAUUACCUUUUGGAUGUGUUUGCAUAUCUGUCUGGGGAAUUGUGGCCUUGAAUGAGAACUUUACGGGGCAAUGCACAUCAGAAAAUAGGGGUCUAACAUUACUCAC